rnacentral:rRNA from 1 species
UUCCGGUUGAUCCCGCCGGACCCCACUGCUAUCGAGGUGAGACUUAGCCAGGCCAGUCGAACGACUCGGACUAUGGCGAGAAGUGGCAAACUGCUCAGUAACACGUAGCUAACCUACCCUCAGGACGGAGACAACCCCGGGAAACUGGGGUUAAUCCCCGAUAGGCGUGAAUUCCUGGAAUGGUGUCACGCCGAAACGUUAACACACCAUGUUUGUGUACACGCCUGAGGAUGGGGCUGCGGCCGAUCAGGCAGUUGGUGAGGUAACGGCUCACCAAACCUUUGACCGGUACGGGCCGUGAGAGCGGUAGCCCGGAGAUGGACACUGAGACAAGGGUCCAGGACCUACGGGUCGCAGCCGGUACGAAACCUCCACAAUGCACGCAAGUGCGAUGGGGUUACCUCGAGUGCCGCCUGAAGAAGGCGGCUUUUCCAUUGUGUAAUGAGCCGUGGGAAUAAGGGGGGGGCAAGACUGGUGUCAGCCGCCGCGGUAACACCAGCCCCCCGAGUGGUGGGGAUGUUUAUUUGGCCUAAAACGUCCGUAGCCAGCUAGGUAAAUCUCUCGUUAAAUCCAGUGUCCUAAGCGUUGGGCUGCGAGAGAGACUGCCAAGCUAGAGGGUGGGAGAGGUCAGCGGUAUUUCUGGGGUAGGGGCGAAAUCCAUUGAUCCCAGGAGGACCACCAGUGGCGAAGGCUGCUGACUAGAACGCGCCUGACGGUGAGGGACGAAAGCUGGGGUAGCGAAUCGGAUUAGAUACCCGAGUAGUCCCAGCCGUAAACGAUGCAGGCUAGGUGUUGGGUUGGCCAUGUGCCGACUCAGUGCCACAGGGAAGCCAUUAAGCCUGCUGCCUGGGGAGUACGGUCGCAAGGCUGAAACUUAAAGGAAUUGGCGGGAGAGCACCACCAGGCGUGAAGCCUGCGGUUUAAUUGGAGUCAACGCCGGG